UACGAAGGGGGCUAGCGUUGCUCGGAAUCACUGGGCGUAAAGCGCACGUAGGCGGCUUCUCAAGUCAGGGGUGAAAUCCUGGAGCUCAACUCCAGAACUGCCUUUGAUACUGAGGGGCUCGAGUCCGGGAGAGGUGAGUGGAACUGCGAGUGUAGAGGUGAAAUUCGUAGAUAUUCGCAAGAACACCAGUGGCGAAGGCGGCUCACUGGCCCGGUACUGACGCUGAGGUGCGAAAGCUAGGGGAGCAAACGGG
rnacentral:rRNA from 1 species